CAAUAGCGUAUAUUAAAGUUGUUGCAGUUAAAAAGCUCGUAGUUGGAUCUCGGAGUGUUUGGCAGGGCUGGUCCGCCGAAAUAGGUGAGCACCGUCCUGCCCGCUCCUCUUGUCCGGGUUCUCAUCCCUGCUAUUCACUUAGUGGGGAACCAAAGGUUCUGCUCCCGCCCUCGGGUGGGGGUGGAGCUGGAGGCCCGGACCAUUUACUUUGAAAAAAUUAGAGUGUUCAAAGCAGACAAGUCAAAACUGUCAUUGAAUAUAUUAGCAUGGGAUAAUGGAAUAAGCCUCUCUGCUUAUUUUGUUGGUUUCUAAGUAGGGAGAAAUGAUUGAUAGGGACAGUUGGGGGCAUUAAUAUUUAAUUGUCAGAGGUGAAAUUCUUGGAUUUAUGAAAGAUUAACUUCUGCGAAAGCAUUUGUCAAGGAUGUUUUCAUUAAUCAAGAACGAAAGUUAGGGGAUCGAAGAUGAUUAGAUACCGUCGUAGUCUUAACCAUAAACGAUGCCGACCAGCGAUUGGGAGACGUUACACAUGCUGCCCCAAAAGGCAGCAUGGAGGACUCCCCCAGCAGCUUGUGAGAAAUCAUAAGUCUUUGGGUUCCGGGGGGAGUAUGGUCGCAAGGCUGAAACUUAAA
rnacentral:rRNA from 1 species